ensembl:lncRNA
GGGAGUGGGAUUUGGAGGGGGAGGAGUGAGUGCAGCCCCGGGACAGGAAAGGAACCCUGUGCGGCCAUAACCCACCUCCGUGUGGGGUGUGUGGUUGGGAAAUGGAUGUGGGAUUGGGGUUCGGAUGUGGGAUAUGGAAUUAGGGCUGUGGGAUUGGGAUGGGGAUUAUGGUGUGGGAUUGGAAGGUGGGGUAUAGAAUUGGGGGUGUGGGGUUGGGGUUGGGAUAAGGUCUGGGAUAUGGGAUUAGGGAUCUGGGAUUGGUAUGUGGGAUGUGGGAUUGGGAUGUGGGGUAUAGGAUUGGGGGUGUGGGAUUGGGAUUUGCAUUGGGAUGGGGGCUGUGGGGUGUAGGGUUGAGGUGUAGGGUUGGGGUGUAGGGUUGGGGAUUUGGGAUUUGCCUUGGGAUGGGGGCUGUGGGGCCUGGAUGUGGGCUAUUGGGCUGGGAUGUUGGGUUGGGAUUGAGGCUAGGAUGUGGGAUAUAGGAUUAGGGGUGUGGGACUGGGGUUUGCAUUGGGAUGUGGGCUGUGGGGCUGGGGUUGGUGCUGGGUUUGAGGUUGGGGUUGGCAUAUAGGAUUAGAGGUGUGGGAUUGGGAUUUGCAUUGGGCUGUGGGGCCGGAAUGUGGGGUUGGGAUUGAGGUCAGGAUGUGGGAUGUAAAGAAACGUGCCCUGUUCACAGGUGGGUCGUGUGGUGUUGUGGGGAAGCACUGCAGAUGGAAAGCUGCUGUGUGGAGCCCCACAGGAUGAGUUGCAGAGGCCCCUGAAGGAAAAGGAGAAGGAAGGGCAUUUGCAGAGGGAAAGGCUGUCCCGCUGGCCUUAGGUGUUGCUGAACGGGAGGGGUGGCCAAUGCUUUCUCUUUCCGCUGACUCACGGAUGGUGGCAAAUGCCUUCUGGGGGUGGUUCCAGCAGUGGGAAGAAAACAACUGGCAGCGGAGGGGUAAACCUCUUUGGGCUGCUGAGCUGUGUGCUGAACCAUAAGGAAGGUGGCUGUAAAGGUGUGCCGUGCAG